CCAGACUCCUACGGGAGGCAGCAGUGAGGAAUAUUGGUCAAUGGGCGGAAGCCUGAACCAGCCAAGUCGCGUGAGGGAAUAAGGCCCUACGGGUCGUAAACCUCUUUUGCCGGGGAGCAAGGGCGGGGACGUGUCCCGGCCCGGAGAGUACCCGGAGAAAAAGCAUCGGCUAACUCCGUGCCAGCAGCCGCGGUAAUACGGAGGAUGCGAGCGUUAUCCGGAUUUAUUGGGUUUAAAGGGUGCGUAGGCGGGCUUUUAAGUCAGCGGUAAAAAUUCGGGGCUCAACCCCGUCCGGCCGUUGAAACUGGGGGCCUUGAGUGGGCGAGAAGAAGGCGGAAUGCGUGGUGUAGCGGUGAAAUGCAUAGAUAUCGAGAGGAACACUCGUGGCGAAGGCGGGUUCCUGGACAUUAACUGACGCUGAGGCACGAAGGCCAGGGGAGCGAAAGGGAUUAGAUACCCUCGUA
rnacentral:rRNA from 1 species